rnacentral:rRNA from 1 species
AUUGAACGCUGGCGGCAGGCCUAACACAUGCAAGUCGGACGAGCGGCGGACGGGUGAGUAAUGUCUGGGAAUCUGCCUGAUGGAGGGGGAUAACUACUGGAAACGGUAGCUAAUACCGCAUACCAUCAGAUGUGCCCAUAUGGGAUUAGCUUGUAGGUGGGGUAACGGCUCACCUAGGCGACGAUCCCUAGCUGGUAUGAGAGGAUGACCAGCCACACUGGAACUGAGACACGGCCCAGACUCCUACGGGAGGCAGCAGUGGGGAAUAUUGCACAAUGGGCGCAAGCCUGAUGCAGCCAUGCCGCGUGUAUGAAGAAGGCCUUCGGGUUGUAAAGUACUUUCAGCGAGGAGGCGUUACUCGCAGAAGAAGCACCGGCUAACUCCGUGCCAGCAGCCGCGGUAAUUC